rnacentral:sRNA from 2 species
UCGAGCAGUGCACCGGGCAGGAGCGGGGGAACCAGGUAGUUCGCCGCGCCCUGCUCGGCCCGUUCACGGACGAGAUGGGUGUGGCUAGGGGUGAAGCCGCUACGUGCGGCCGGGCUACCUCACGGCCCGAACCCGACAGCUCACCUCGCAGGCGUCGCAGAGGGACGCC